CCUGAUCUACGGUUUUAUCGGGGGCGCCAUCGUCUUUGGGGCUUACAUGUGCAUAAAGAUCGCACUAUCCAAGGACAGCGUCCACAAGAAGCAGCUGGAGAAGAAGAGGGAGGCGCUUCGACGCAAGGAGAACGAAGUGAUCGAAAAGC
rnacentral:snRNA from 1 species